GAUGAACGCUGGCGGCGUGCCUAAUACAUGCAAGUCGAGCGAACAGACGAGGAGCUUGCUCCUCUGACGUUAGCGGCGGACGGGUGAGUAACACGUGGAUAACCUACCUAUAAGACUGGGAUAACUUCGGGAAACCGGAGCUAAUACCGGAUAAUAUAUUGAACCGCAUGGUUCAAUAGUGAAAGACGGUUUUGCUGUCACUUAUAGAUGGAUCCGGGCGCAUUAGCUAGUUGGUAAGGUAACGGCUUACCAAGGCAACGAUGCGUAGCCGACCUGAGAGGGUGAUCGGCCACACUGGAACUGGGACACGGUCCAGACGCCUACGGGAGGCAGCAGUAGGGAAUCUUCCGCAAUGGGCGAAAGCCUUACGGAGCAACGCCGCGUGAGUGAUGAAGGUCUUCGGAUCGUAAAACUCUGUUAUUAGGGAAGAACAAAUGUGUAAGUAACUAUGCACGUCUUGACGGUACCUAAUCAGAAAGCCACGGCUAACUACGUG
rnacentral:rRNA from 1 species